CCUACGGGUGGCAGCAGUGGGGAAUCUUGCGCAAUGGGCGGAAGCCUGACGCAGCGACGCCGCGUGCGGGACGAAGGCCUUCGGGUCGUAAACCGCUUUCAGCAGGGACGAGGCCCUCACGGUGACGGUACCUGCAGAAGAAUCCUCCGCAAACUACGUGCCAGCAGCCGCGGUAAUACGUAGGGGGCGAGCGUUAACCGGAUUCAUUGGGCGUAAAGCGCGCGUAGGCGGCCUGUUAGGUCGGGGGUAAAAUACCGGGGCUCAACCCCGGUCCGCCCCCGAUACCGGCAGGCUAGAGUUUGGUAGGGGAAGGCGGAAUUCCCGGUGUAGCGGUGGAAUGCGCAGAUAUUGGGAAGAACACCGGCGGCGAAGGCAGCCUUCUGGGCCACGACUGACGCUGAGGCGCGAAAGCGAGGGGAGCGAACAGGAUUAGAUACCCUUGUAGUC
rnacentral:rRNA from 1 species